UUUAGAGUUUUGAAUCAUGGCUCAGGACGAACGCUGGCGGCGUGCCUAAUACAUGCAAGUCGAGCGGACAGAUGGGAGCUUGCUCCCUGAUGUUAGCGGCGGACGGGUGAGUAACACGUGGGUAACCUGCCUGUAAGACUGGGAUAACUCCGGGAAACCGGGGCUAAUACCGGAUGCUUGUUUGAACCGCAUGGUUCAAACAUAAAAGGUGGCUUCGGCUACCACUUACAGAUGGACCCGCGGCGCAUUAGCUAGUUGGUGAGGUAAUGGCUCACCAAGGCAACGAUGCGUAGCCGACCUGAGAGGGUGAUCGGCCACACUGGGACUGAGACACGGCCCAGACUCCUACGGGAGGCAGCAGUAGGGAAUCUUCCGCAAUGGACGAAAGUCUGACGGAGCAACGCCGCGUGAGUGAUGAAGGUUUUCGGAUCGUAAAGCUCUGUUGUUAGGGAAGAACAAGUACCGUUCGAAUAGGGCGGUACCUUGACGGUACCUAACCAGAAAGCCACGGCUAACUACGUGCAAGCAGCCGCGGUAAUACGUAGGUGGCAAGCGUUGUCCGGAAUUAUUGGGCGUAAAGGGCUCGCAGGCGGUUCCUUAAGUCUGAUGUGAAAGCCCCCGGCUCAACCGGGGAGGGUCAUUGGAAACUGGGGAACUUGAGUGCAGAAGAGGAGAGUGGAAUUCCACGUGUAGCGGUGAAAUGCGUAGAGAUGUGGAGGAACACCAGUGGCGAAGGCGACUCUCUGGUCUGUAACUGACGCUGAGGAGCGAAAGCGUGGGGAGCGAACAGGAUUAGAUACCCUGGUAGUCCACGCCGUAAACGAUGAGUGCUAAGUGUUAGGGGGUUUCCGCCCCUUAGUGCUGCAGCUAACGCAUUAAGCACUCCGCCUGGGGAGUACGGUCGCAAGACUGAAACUCAAAGGAAUUGACGGGGGCCCGCACAAGCGGUGGAGCAUGUGGUUUAAUUCGAAGCAACGCGAAGAACCUUACCAGGUCUUGACAUCCUCUGACAAUCCUAGAGAUAGGACGUCCCCUUCGGGGGCAGAGUGACAGGUGGUGCAUGGUUGUCGUCAGCUCGUGUCGUGAGAUGUUGGGUUAAGUCCCGCAACGAGCGCAACCCUUGAUCUUAGUUGCCAGCAUUCAGUUGGGCACUCUAAGGUGACUGCCGGUGACAAACCGGAGGAAGGUGGGGAUGACGUCAAAUCAUCAUGCCGCUUAUGACCUGGGCUACACACGUGCUACAAUGGACAGAACAAAGGGCAGCGAAACCGCGAGGUUAAGCCAAUCCCACAAAUCUGUUCUCAGUUCGGAUCGCAGUCUGCAACUCGACUGCGUGAAGCUGGAAUCGCUAGUAAUCGCGGAUCAGCAUGCCGCGGUGGAAUACGUUCCCGGGGCCUUGUACACACCGCCCGUCACACCACGAGAGUUUGUAACACCCGAAGUCGGUGAGGUAACCUUUAUGGAGCCAGCCGCCGAAGGUGGGACAGAUGAUUGGGGUGAAGUCGUAACAGGGUUAACCGUA
rnacentral:rRNA from 1 species